rnacentral:rRNA from 1 species
GAGGAAUAUUGGGCAAUGCCCGCAAGGGUGACCCAGCAACGCCGCGUGGAGGAUGAAUGUCGUAAGAUUGUAAACUCCUGUUAGAGGGGAAGAAUAGUACCGGUUGGACCGGUAUAUGACUGUACCCUCAGAGAAAGCCCCGGCUAACUACGUGCCAGCAGCCGCGGUAAUACGUAGGGGGCAAGCGUUGUCCGGAUUUACUGGGUGUAAAGGGCGCGCAGGCGGGAUAAAAAGUCAGUGGUGAAAUCCUACAGCUUAACUGUAGAACUGCCUUUGAUACUUUUAUUCUUGAGUUCGGGAGAGAGAGACGGAAUUCCAGGUGUAGUGUGAAAUACGUAGAUAUCUGGAAGAACACCAGUUGCGAAGGCGGUCUCUUGGUCCGACACUGACGCUGAGGCGCGAAAGCGUGGGGAGCAAACA